rnacentral:rRNA from 1 species
AGCAGCCGCGGUAAUUCCAGCUCCAAUAGCGUAUAUUAAAGUUGUUGCAGUUAAAAAGCUCGUAGUUGAAUUUUGGAUUCUGCCAAUUGGUCCAUCUUUUAGAUGAGUACUGGUUGUGUGGGGUCUAUCCGCCUGGUGAUACGUAAUGUCCUUUAUUGGAUGUUUCGGGUAGUCAGGACCUUUACCUUGAAAAAAUUAGAGUGUUUAAAGCAGGCUUAUGCCGGAAUACAUUAGCAUGGAAUAAUAGAAUAGGACGAAGUUGUUUUAUUUUGUUGGUUUCUAGGACAACCGUAAUGAUUAAUAGGGAUAGUUGGGGGCAUUAGUAUUCAAUUGUCAGAGGUGAAAUUCUUGGAUUUAUUGAAGACUAACUACUGCGAAAGCAUUUGCCAAGGAUGUUUUCAUUAAUCAAGAACGAAAGUUAGGGGAUCGAAGACGAUCAGAUACCGUCGUAGUCUUAACCAUAAACUAUGCCGACUAGGGAUCGGGCGAUGUUGUUUCCAUGACUCGCUCGGCACCUUAUG